GACCUGUGCCCGCCUCACGCCCAGCCUGUUGAUCGGUGGACGGGUAAGCGCGCAUGGCAUCGGAAGGAGCUCGAAAAGUAUAAGGUGAUGACAAUGGAUAAUUGCGUGAAAAUCAAACUUAAAGAAUGCAAUCUUGAGGAGUUAAUCCCCACAUUUGAAGCACAGGAGCGAACCUUUCCUCGUUUUUAGGUCAAUUUGAAUACAAUUCAGAGGGGUGGCAUGGGGGUGCAGUGGGUAGUGCUGUCGCCUCACAGCAAGAUGGUCGCUGGUU